AGCACACUUGUGCUCCAGACCCUAGAACCCUAUUCUAGAAUAGAUAGAACAACUCAGAUUAAAUAUGUUUACUCACAGUAAAAAAAAGACUUUAACAUUAUGCCGGGUUAUAAUUUGCAAGGGGUAAAAGAUCACUUGAGUUGCAAAUGCCUUAAUUCUUGAGGGAAACAACCAAGAGAAGAUAAGAAAUUCCAACCUUGAGUUUCUGAUCCCAUGAACUAGGAAAGAUGGGUGCACCAAGACUGCUAACACAACGGAAGAAGCAAAAAUGGGAAGAGAGAGUGAGGGGACUGCACAGAGAAUGGGAAAACUUCUUUCUGCAGAUCAGGCCUAUGCUGUGACAUUAACUUUUACCUUCAGUCUGCUCAGGUGAGUUCCUCAAGAAUGUGCUGAAGAUCAGAUUCUUAUUUUCCUUAUUUGUGGAUAUUGUUUUGCCUAAGUAAGUUUUGCUAACAUAACUUUUUGUUUGGCAGAUCAGGUUUUUCCAUGUUAAGAUGACCUGGUGAGAAAGCAUUGUGUUACGAAAGUGCAUACGAUUACCAAGGUCCACAUGUAUGUUGC